GGACAUUGUUUUCGAAUAUUUUGCAUGUAUCAAAGCUCUUAUAAACAAGAUAGGGUAUUCCUACAUAGCUGGUGGGACCCACGACAAAUAGAUCAUAAAGUAUUCAAAAAAGAAUAGAUACGAUUGCAAUGCAUGUAGUAACGGAUGCUAUCAUACUAGCACUAAUGCACCGGAUCCCAUCAGAACUCCGCAGUUAAGCGUGCUUGGGCGAGAGUAGUAUGAGGAUGGGUGACCUCCCGGAAAGUCCUCAUGUUGCAUCCCUCUUUUUUUCGGUUUUUCUCUAUUUUGUAUUGUUAAAGAUGUAUGACUCUAUACCUUUAAGACCGUGAGGCCAAACUUGACAUGUGAUACCAUUUCGGAAAUCCCAAAGAGAGCUCUCCGAUGAAAGAGGAAGGAAAAUGGAAUUCUUCUUUUGUUUUUUUUUCUACACCAAAUUUUGACCUUAAUGUACUUUUUCGAGCCUUUUCGUGAUCUUUGCUAUAUUACGGGGCGAAAAUUAUAUGUUCGGACAUUGUUUUCGGAUAUUUUGUAUCUAUCAAAGCUCUUAUAAAUAAGAUAGGGUAUUCCUACAUAGCUAGUGGGAUCCACGACAAAUGGAUCAUAAAGUCUUCAAAAAAGAAUAGAUACGAUUGCAUUCCAUGUAGUAACAUAUGCGAUCAUACCAGCACUAAUGCAUUGGAUCCCAUCAGAACUCCGCAGUUAAGCGUGCUUGGGCGAGAGUAGUACGAGGAUGGGUGACCUCGAGGAAUGUCCUCGUGUUGCAUCCCUCUUUUUUUUCUGGUUUUUCUCUUUUUUGUUUUUUUAAAAAUGUAUGACUCUAUAACUUUUAUACCGUGAGGCCAAACUUGGCAUGCCAUACCUUUUCGGAAAGCCCAAAGAGAGCUCUCCAAUGAAUGAGGAAGGAAAAUGGAAUUCUUCUAUUGUUUUUUUUUCUACUCAAAAUUUUGACCUUAAUGUACAUUUUCGGGCCUUUUCUUGAUCUUUGCAAUAUUACGAGGCAAAAAUUAUAUGUUUGGACAUUGUUUUUGAAUAUUUUGCAUGUCUCAAAGCUCUUAUAAACAAGAUAGGGUAUUCCUACAUAGCUGGUGGGACCCACGACAAAUAGAUCAUAAAGUAUUCAAAAAAGAAUAGAUACGAUUGCAAUGCAUGUAGUAACGGAUGCUAUCAUACUAGCACUAAUGCACCGGAUCCCAUCAGAACUCCGCAGUUAAGCGUGCUUGGGCGAGAGUAGUAUGAGGAUGGGUGACCUCCCGGAAAGUCCUCAUGUUGCAUCCCUCUUUUUUUCGGUUUUUCUCUAUUUUGUAUUGUUAAAGAUGUAUGACUCUAUACCUUUAAGACCGUGAGGCCAAACUUGACAUGUGAUACCAUUUCGGAAAUCCCAAAGAGAGCUCUCCGAUGAAAGAGGAAGGAAAAUGGAAUACUUCUAUUGGGUUUUGUUUUUACUCCAAAUUUUGACCUAAAUGUACUUUUCCGGGCCUUUUCGUGAUCUUUGCUAUAUUACGGGGUGAAAAUUAUAUGUUCGGACAUUGGUUUCCAAUAUUUUGCAAGUAUCAAAGCUCUUAUAAAAAAAUAGGGUAUUCCUACAUAGCUGGUGGGACCCACGGCAAAUGGAUCAUAAAAUCUUCAAAAAAGAAUAGAUACGAUUGCAUUGCAUGUAGUAACAGAUGCGAUCAUACCAGCACUAAUGCAACGGAUCCCAUCAGAACUCCGCAGUUAAGGGUGCUUGUGAGAGAGUAGUACUAGGAUGGGUGACCUCAAGGAAUGUCCUCGUGUUGCAUCCCUCUUUUUUUUUUCUGUUUUUCUCUUUUUUUGUUCUGUUAAAAAUGUAUGACUUUAUAACCUUUAGACCGUGAGGCCAAACUUGGCAUGCCAUACCUUUUCGGAAAGCCCAAAGAGAGCUCUCCAAUUAAUGAGGAAGGAAAAUGGAAUUCUUCUAUUGUUUUUUUUUUCUACUCCAAAUUUUGACCUUAAUGUACUUUUUCGUGCCUUUUCGUGAUCUUUGCUAUAGUACGGGGUGAAAAUUAUAUGUUCGGACAUUGUUUUCGAAUAUUUUGCAUGUAUCAAAGCUCUAAUAAACAAGAUAGGGUAUUCCUACAUAGCUAGUGGGACCCACGACAAAUGGAUCAUAAAGUCUUAAAAAAAAAUAGAUACGAUUGCAUUGCAUGUAGUAACGGAUGCGAUUAUACCAGCAUUAAUGCACCGGAUCCCAUCAGAAAUCAGCAGUUAAGCGUCCUUGGGCGAGAGUUGUACUAGGAUGGGUGACCUACAGGAAAGUCCUCGUGUUGCAUUCCCCUUUUUUUUCUCGGUUUUUCUCUUUUUUGUUUUGUUAAAAGUAUAUGACUCUAUAACUUUUAGACCGUGAGGCCAAACUUGGCAUGUGAUACCUUUUCGGAAAGCCCAAAGAGAGCUCUCCAACUAAUGAGGAAGGAAAAUAGAAUUCUUCUAUUGGUUUUUUUUUCUACUCCAAAUUUUGACCUUAAUGUACUUUUUCGGGCCUUUUAAUGAUCUUUGCUAUAGUACGGGGCGAAAAUUAUAUGUUCGGACAUUGUUUUCGAAUAUUUUGUAUCUAUCAAAGCUCUUAUAAACAAGAUAGGGUAUUCCUACAUAGCUGGUCGAACCCACGGCAAAUGGAUCAUAAAGUCUUAAAAAAAGAAUAGAUACGAUUGCAUUGCAUGUAGUAACAGAUGCGAUCAUACCAGCACUAAUGCACCGGAUCCCAUCAGAACUCCGCAGUUAAGUGUGCUUGGGCGAGAGUAGUACUAAGAUGGGUGACCUCGAAGAAUGUCCUCGUGUUGCAUCCCUCUUUUUUUUCAGUUUUUCUCUUUUUAUGUUUUGUUAAAAAUGUAUGACUUUAUAACUUUUAGACCGUGAGGCCAAACUUGUCAUGCCAUACCUUUUCGGAAAGCCCAAAGAGAGCUCUCCAAUUAAUGAGGAAGGAAAAUGGAAUUCUUCUAUUGUUUUUUUUUUCUACUCCAAAUUUUGACCUUAAUGUACUUUUUCGUGCCUUUUCGUGAUCUUUGCUAUAGUACGGGGUGAAAAUUAUAUGUUCGGACAUUGUUUUCGAAUAUUUUGCAUGUAUCAAAGCUCUAAUAAACAAGAUAGGGUAUUCCUACAUAGCUAGUGGGACCCACGACAAAUGGAUCAUAAAGUCUUAAAAAAGAAUAGAUACGAUUGCAUUGCAUGUAUUAACGGAUGCGAUUAUACCAGCAUUAAUGCACUGGAUCCCAUCAGAAAUCUGUAGUUAA
rnacentral:sRNA from 1 species